rnacentral:rRNA from 1 species
GAUGAACGCUGGCGGCGUGCUUAACACAUGCAAGUCGAACGGACAGGCUCCUGCUUGCCGGUGUCCUCCAGUUGCGAACGGGUGAGUAACCCAUGGGUGAUCUGCGCUGCACUUCGGGAUAAGCCUGGGAAACUGGGUCUCAUACCGGGGAGGACGACGGGUUGGAUGCCGUUGUGGAGAGUUCUUCGGUGUGGCAUGAGCUCGCGGCCUUUCAGAUGGUUGGUGGGGUAAUGGCCUAGCAAGGCGUCGACGGGGAGGCGGGCUGAGAGGGUGUAAGGCCAAAUUGGGACGGAGAUACGGCACAGACUACUACGGGACGCAGCGGAGGAGAAUAGUGCAUUAUGGGAGGAAGGCUGGUGUAGCGAAGCAGCGUGGCGGGUGAGGGCCUUCGGGUUGUAAACUACUUUCGCUAGAGAGGAAGAGAAAGUGACGGUACCUGAUGAAGAAGCCCCGGCUAACUACGUG